rnacentral:rRNA from 1 species
UACAGAGGUCUCAAGCGUUGUUCGGAGUUACUGGGCGUAAAGGGUGUGUAGGCGGUUCUUUAAGUUUGGUGUGAAAUCUCCCGGCUCAACCGGGAGGGUGCGCCGAAUACUGAGGGACUAGAGUGCGGGAGAGGAAAGUGGAAUUCCUGGUGUAGCGGUGAAAUGCGUAGAUAUCAGGAGGAACACCGGUGGUGUAGACGGCUUUCUGGACCGUAACUGACGCUGAGACACGAAAGCGUGGGUAGCAAACAGG